rnacentral:rRNA from 1 species
UCGCUGGCCCCUAGGGUCGUGCACGCUCGUCGUUCCUCAUUUCUCCAUCUUACUUGUGCACCUCUCGUGUGGAUCCAUGCGUGUCCUUUGCGGACGAUGGGGGGACUGCUUUGCAAUAACUUUUGCGGGCUUUCCUUGUGAUCCUAUAUAUAUAUACUCCAGUGCAGAGAAGGAACGAUAUGAAAUAUUAUUAUACAACUUUCAGCAACGGAUCUCUUGGCUCUCGCAUCGAUGAAGAACGCAGCGAAAUGCGAUAAGUAAUGUGAAUUGCAGAAUUCAGUGAAUCAUCGAAUCUUUGAACGCAUCUUGCGCUCCUCGGUAUUCCAAGGAGCAUGCCUGUUUGAGUGUCAUUUAUAUAUCUCAACCCGCACCCGCGAGGGUCGUCGGGCUUGGACUUGGGGGUUACAGGCUCUGCUGUGUUGUAGUCUGCUCUCCUGAAAUGCAUGGAGCGGCAAUGAAAGCCCUAAGGUGUGAUACAUUUAUCUGCAUCUGUGGGCGUGUUCCUUGCUGCUCAAUAAGGAUGGCUGUUGAUAAUCUUGACCUCAAAUCAGGUAGGACCACCCGCUGAACUUAAGCAUAUCAAUAAGCGGAGGAAAAGAAACUAACCAGGAUUCCCGUAGUAACUGCGAGUGAAGUGGGAAGAGCUCAAAUUUGUA